UAGGACAGAACAUUAACCACAUCAUAUUACAACUAAAAUCACAUUAUGAAGCUUUUUUCACACACUUUAUCGAUCAAUUUCAAAUUAAUAAUUACCUAAUUUAAUGUUUUUCGCCUCCAAUCCCAAAAUCAAGUUCGGCUGCUUAGCCAAUGAAAAAUAUGGAAAGAUACAUACAGCUCAUGUAGUGACAGCUGUGUCCGCCAUCUUGGAUGUCCGUGUAAAAAGACUAGGUACUAGUCAUGCAAACUAUUCUGACAAAUUCUUUACUUUAUUAUACCUUUUAUCUUUAUUCACUUUACCGACCACAGCCACUAUAGCUUAAUUCUAUUUAUAUGUCUUGGACAUAAUUUCUAGUGAAAUUGUAAACGAAAAUUAAAGAGUUUUAAUGACUCACCACCACCGCCUUAAAUUACUAAA